UCCAGUGUGGGUGACCGACAAUGAAUACU
rnacentral:piRNA from 1 species